rnacentral:rRNA from 1 species
AUUGAACGCUGGCGGCAGGCCUAACACAUGCAAGUCGAACGAGUGGCGGACGGGUGAGUAAUGUAUGGGAAACUGCCUUAUGGAGGGGGGUAACUACUGGAAACUGUAGCUAAUACCGCAUACUCUCGGAUGCGCCCAGAGGGGAUUAGCUAGUAGGUGGGGUAACGGCUCACCUAGGCGACGACCCCUAGCUGGUCUGAGAGGAUGACCAGCCACACUGGAACUGAGACACGGUCCAGACUCCUACGGGAGGCAGCAGUGGGGAAUAUUGCACAAUGGGCGCAAGCCUGAUGCAGCCAUGCCGCGUGUAUGAAGAAGGCCUUCGGGUUGUAAAGUACUUUCAGCCGGGAGGCGUUACCCACAGAAGAAGCACCGGCUAACUCCGUGCCAGCAGCCGCGGUAAUUC